rnacentral:rRNA from 1 species
UGACGAGCGGCGGACGGGUGAGUAAUGCAUAGGAAUCUGCCCAGUAGUGGGGGAUAGCCCGGGGAAACCCGGAUUAAUACCGCAUACGCCCUUUGGGGGAAAGCAGGGGAUCUUCGGACCUUGCGCUAUUGGAUGAGCCUAUGUCGGAUUAGCUAGUUGGUGGGGUAAAGGCCUACCAAGGCGACGAUCCGUAGCUGGUCUGAGAGGAUGAUCAGCCACAUCGGGACUGAGACACGGCCCGAACUCCUACGGGAGGCAGCAGUGGGGAAUAUUGGACAAUGGGGGCAACCCUGAUCCAGCCAUGCCGCGUGUGUGAAGAAGGCUUUCGGGUUGUAAAGCACUUUCAGUGAGGAGGAAAACCUUCUGGUUAAUACCCAUGAGGCUUGACGUUACUCACAGAAGAAGCACCGGCUAACUCCGUGCCAGCAGCCGCGGUAAUACGGAGGGUGCAAGCGUUAAUCGGAAUUACUGGGCGUAAAGCGCGCGUAGGUGGUUUGAUAAGCGAGAUGUGAAAGCCCCGGGCUUAACCUGGGAACGGCAUUUCGAACUGUCAGGCUAGAGUGUGGUAGAGGGUAGUGGAAUUUCCUGUGUAGCGGUGA